CGUGCGUCUUCGUUUCCCCGAAAACACGUUACCUGCGCUGAUAGGUGCGGCUGAGAGUCAAACCGGUUCAGCUCACUUCCUCAUAAGUUUGUCGCAGCUUGGAGCCUUUCUUUCUCCGCUUUUUAAACCUUUCACCUGAUUAACUUUUAUAAGGUUAAAGGUUAAAGUGUUUUAUAAACACUUUAACCUCACAUUUUCUUCCCUUACAUUUAUACUUCUAUUACUUUAUACCGUAUGGACGCAUUUUAAUCACGGAAUAGAUACGAUAAGGUAAGGUCUCCAGUCUAAUAUGCAUGAGGAGAUAGAGGAGGGGGGUCCUACCUCUAAGACCACUCUGUCUGGGGAACAUGGCCGCCGGAGCAAAGCUAAGAGCCCAGAGCAGCAGCAGAGAGCAGACUCCCCUGGACCCAGCUGUGUCUCCAUGAAGAGUGACCACUCAAUGGAUCUACCAUGGGACUUUAAAGAUGGACGCCCCUCCAGAGAGGAGAGGUAGGGGGUUCAAACAGACGAUGAAAACAGACCACUUGGUUGUUAUCAGUCUCUACUGAUACUGACAUCUACAAGUCUGGCAAAAUAGAAUUGUGUGUGUGUGUGUGUGUGUGUGUGUGUGUGUGUGUGUGUGUGUGUGUGUGUGUGUGUGUGUGUGUGUGUGUGUUCCCCAAAGACACCAGAUGACGUCAAAAGGUUCCAAGUGCUCAGUCUCUACAGCAACAUCAAACAGAGCU
ensembl:lncRNA